UUGCAGCUUUUGGUUAUUAUUAUACGACCGCAAAAAAAUUUUUGUGGUCGUAUAUUGGUAUGACGUUGGCGUCGUCGUCGUCGUCCGGCGUCGUCGUCCGAAUACACAUUAGUUUUCGCACUCUAACUUUAGUUUGAGUGAAUGGAUCUCAUUGAAAUUUUACCAUAAGGUUCAAUACCACAAAAGGAAGGUGGGGAUUGAUUUUGGGGGUUAUGGUACUAACAGUUAAGGAAUUAGGGGCCAAAAGGGGCCAAAAAUAAGCAUUUUUGUAACUUCCAGACAUAACUUGUGUGUAAGUGUAUGGAUCUCUCUGACAUUGUACCACAAGGUUCCAUAUCACAAAGGGAAUGCUGGGAUUGAUUUUGGGGGUAAUUGUCUCCAAAUUUUAGGAAUUAGGGGCCAAAAAGGGGCAAAAAAACAAGCAUUUUUCUAGUUUCAUGACAAUAACUUGUUUGUAAGUGUAUGGAUCUUUAUGAAAUUGUACUACAAGGUUCCAUAUCACAAAGGGAAUACUGGGAUUGAUUUUUGGGGUAAUUUCCUCCAAAUAUUAGGAAUUAGGGGCCAAAAAGGGGCAAAAAAACAAGCAUUUUUCUAGUUUCAUGACAAUAACUUGUUUGUAAGUGUAUGGAUCUUUAUGAAAUUGUACUACAAGGUUCCAUAUCACAAAGGGAAAGCUGGAAUUGAGUUUGGGGGUAAUUGCCCUAAACGUUUAGGAAUUUGGGGCCAAAAAGGGGCCAAAAAACAAGCAUUUUUCUAGUUUCCAGACAAUAACUUGUGUUCAAGUGUAUGAAUCUCUCUGAAAUUGUACUGCAAGGUACCAUACCACAAAGGGAAAGCUGGGAUUGAGUUUGGGGGCGAUGAAUCAUAAGGGGGUUCAAAAAAUGGGGGGGGGGGAUUUUUUUUUUCCUUUUUUUUCUUUAACAUUUUCCAUUUUAAAUUGGUUAUUUCUGAUUUAUAUAUAAAAGCAAAUAAUAAUGAUAUGGUUUGAAUAGGCAUACAUGUGAACCUCCUGACGGGAGUACAAUAAUCCCGUUUUCAGGGGUCUCCUCCCGACCUCCCGUUGAAAAAAUCCCGUGUAUGAAAUUUUUCUAAAUGAAAAAUUUCUGCCCAACAUAACAUCUCAGGCAUCUGGUGUAACUGACAUUACCUGAAGUUAUAUUUUACCUGUAAAUCAAUUAACAUGCAUAAUUAUAUGGCUUCACUUGUCAGCUUGGGUGUCAAACAUACUGGUAAGCAACGAUUUUUACCUCAGGCUAACUGCCGUUGUGUAACAAAAACUGUGUAUUUAUUGGGUUACUUCCCUUGAUUUAUCCUGUUUUAAGUUACUUUCCUUUUAAUAAUGAAAAUUUUUAAAAGAAUAUAAAUAAAAUAUAAAUUGAACAAAUAAUCAUAAAAGGAUGGUUAUUAAAUGAUUUUAAAUGUCUUAGGACAAAUAAAAAAAUAAUAAUUUGAAAAUUAUUUGAGGAUUCUAUACUUCCUUUUAAAGCUUAAAUUGAAAUUUAUAUAAUAACUAUGACCCUAACUUUACAGAUAGAAUGAAUUUCUGAGUUUGCAAAUAAAAACUAUUUGCAAGAGAAAAAAUAAAAAAAAAUAAAAACUAUUUGCA